rnacentral:rRNA from 1 species
UACGUAGGGUGCAAGCGUUGUCCGGAAUUAUUGGGCGUAAAGAGCGUGUAGGCGGCCCGAUUAGUCCGCUGUGAAAGUCCAGGGCUCAACCCUGGAAUGCCGGUGGAUACUGUCGGGCUAGAGUCCGGAAGGGGCGAGUGGAAUUCCUGGUGUAGCGGUGAAAUGCGCAGAUAUCAGGAGGAACACCGAUGGCGAAGGCAGCUCGCUGGGACGUGACUGACGCUGAGACGCGAAAGCGUGGGGAGCAAACAGG